UUGUACACAAGUUCGCGUGAGGGAUAGCAGCGGAAAGCCCACAGCCUGACGAAGGAAGGGCGAGGACUUGAAGCGAAUAGCCCGACCCGGA
rnacentral:misc_RNA from 1 species